rnacentral:ncRNA from 1 species
CAUGGGGUUUGCGAAACGCCCCGUGAGGCGACAGCCCAAGGAUCGCGUCCAUUUACCUUAUUUUGAAGGAGGACGCAGUAUG